AUGCACGCUGGCGGCGUGCCUAAUACAUGCAAGUCGAGCGAACAGACGAGGAGCUUGCUCCUCUGACGUUAGCGGCGGACGGGUGAGUAACACGUGGAUAACCUACCUAUAAGACUGGGAUAACUUCGGGAAACCGGCGCUAAUACCGGAUAAUAUAUUGAACCGCAUGGUUCCAUAGUGAAAGACGGUUUUGCUGUCACUUAUAGAUGGAUCCGCGCCGCAUUAGCUAGUUGGUAAGGUAACGGCUUACCAAGUCGACGAUGCGUAGCCGACCUGAGAGGGUGAUCGGCCACACUGGAACUGAGACACGGUACAGACUCCUACGGGAGGCAGCAGUAGGGAAUCUUCAGCAAUGGGCGAAAGCCUGACGGAGCAACGCCGCGUGAGUGAUGAAGGUCUUCGGAUCGUAAAACUCUGUUAUUAGGGAAGAACAAAUGUGUAAGUAACUAUGCACGUCUUGACGGUACCUAAUCAGAAAGCCACGGCUAACUACGUG
rnacentral:rRNA from 1 species